rnacentral:sRNA from 1 species
UCAUAUAGGCAAAAGGUUAGAUGAGU